UACAGAGGGCCCAAGCGUUGUUCGGAUUCACUGGGCGUAAAGGGUGCGUAGGCGGUUGGGUAAGUCUGACGUGAAAUCUCCAAGCCUAACUUGGAAACUGCGUUGGAUACUAUCCGGCUCGAGGAAUGGAGGGGAGAAUGGAAUACUUGGUGUAGCAGUGAAAUGCGUAGAUAUCAAGUGGAACACCAGUGGCGAAGGCGAGUCUCUGGACAUUUCCUGACGCUGAGGCACGAAAGCCAGGGGAGCAAACGGG
rnacentral:rRNA from 1 species